rnacentral:rRNA from 1 species
AGAGCGAACGCUGGCGGCAGGCUUAACACAUGCAAGUCGAGCGGCCGUAGCAAUACGGCAGCGGCAGACGGGAGAGUAACACGUGGGAACGCGCCCUUCGGUUCGGAAUAACUCAGGGAAACUUGGGCUAAUACCGGAUACGCCCUUACGGGGAAAGAUUUAUUGCCGAAGGAACGGCCCGCGUCCGAUUAGCUUGUUGGUGAGGUAACGGCUCACCAAGGCGACGAUCGGUAGCUGGUCUGAGAGGAUGACCAGCCUCACUGGGACUGAGACACGGCCCAGACUCCUACGGGAGGCAGCAGUGGGGAAUAUUGGACAAUGGGCGCAAGCCUGAUCCAGCCAUGCCGCGUGGGUGAUGAAGGCCCUAGGGUUGUAAAGCCCUUUCGGCGGGGAAGAUAAUGACGGUACCCGCAGAAGAAGCCCCGGCUAACUUCGCGCCAGCAGCCGC